rnacentral:rRNA from 1 species
CAGCCGCCGCGGUAAUACGGAGGGUGCAAGCGUUAAUCGGAAUUACUGGGCGUAAAGCGUGCGUAGGCGGUUUAUUAAGUCAGAUGUGAAAGCCCCGGGCUUAACCUGGGAACUGCAUUUGAAACUGGUCAACUAGAGUAUGGUAGAGGAAAGUGGAAUUUCUGGUGUAGCGGUGAAAUGCGUAGAUAUCAGAAGGAACAUCAAUGGCGAAGGCAGCUUUCUGGACCAAUACUGACGCUGAGGUACGAAAGCGUGGGUAGCAAACAGGAUUAGAUACCCUGGUAGUCCACGCCGUAAACGAUGAUAACUAGCCGUUGGGGGGAUUUACCCUUUAGUGGCGAAGCUAACGCGUUAAGUUAUCCGCCUGGGGAGUACGGCCGCAAGGCUAAAACUCAAAGGAAUUGACGGGGACCCGCACAAGCGGUGGAGCAUGUGGUUUAAUUCGAUGCAACGCGAAGAACCUUACCUGGUCUUGACAUCCUGCGAACUUUCUAGAAAUAGAUUGGUGCCUUCGGGAACGCAGUGACAGGUGCUGCAUGGCUGUCGUCAGCUCGUGUCGUGAGAUGUUGGGUUAAGUCCCGUAACGAGCGCAACCCCUAUCCUUAUUUGCCAGCACGUCAUGGUGGGAACUAUAAGGAGACUGCCGGUGAUAAACCGGAGGAAGGCGGGGACGACGUCAAGUCAUCAUGGCCCUUACGACCAGGGCUACACACGUGCUACAAUGGGAAGGACAAAGAGCCGCGAAGCCGCGAGGUGUAGCUAAUCUCAGAAACCUUUUCGUAGUCCGGAUUGGAGUCUGCAACUCGACUCCAUGAAGUCGGAAUCGCUAGUAAUCGUAGAUCAGAAUGCUACGGUGAAUACGUUCCCGGGUCUUGCACACACCGCCCG